GAUGAAGAACGCAGCGAAAUGCGAUAAGUAGUGUGAAUUGCAGAAUUCAGUGAAUCAUCGAAUCUUUGAACGCACCUUGCGCCCUUUGGCUAUUCCGAAGGGCAUGCCUGUUUGAGUAUCAUGAACACCUCAACUCUCAUGGUCUGCCAUGAUGAGCUUGGACUUUGGGGGUCUUGCUGGCCUACUGUCAGCUCCUCUCAAAUGAAUCAGCUUACCAGUGUUUGGUGGCACCACAGGUGUGAUAACUAUCUACGCUUGUGGUUUUCUGCCAGGUAACCUCCAGUGAUGGAGGUUCGCUGGAGCUCACAAAUGUCUCUCCUCAGCGAGGACAGCUUUUUGAACGUUUGAUCUCAAAUCAGGUAGGACUACCCGCUGAACUUAAGCAUAUCAAUAAGCGGAGGA
rnacentral:misc_RNA from 1 species